rnacentral:rRNA from 1 species
UCUAAGCGGGAAACUCGCCUUAAGAUGAGAUAUCCCUGGAGGCUUGACCUCCUUGAAGGGUCGUUCGAGACCAGGACGUUGAUAGGUCGGGUGUGUAAGCGCAGUAAUGCGUUCAGCUAACCGAUACUAAUUGCCCGUAAGGCUUGAUCCUAUAACA